UACAGAGGGGGCAAGCGUUGCUCGGAAUUACUGGGCGUAAAGGGCGCGUAGGCGGGAUGGCAAGUCGGUCGUGAAAUCCCUCGGCUCAACCGAGGAACGUCGAUCGAUACUGCUGUUCUUGAGGAUUGCAGAGGAGACUGGAAUUCCCGGUGUAGCGGUGAAAUGUGUAGAGAUCGGGAGGAACACCGGUGGCGAAGGCGGGUCUCUGGGCAUUUCCUGACGCUGAGGCGCGAAAGCGUGGGGAGCAAACGGG
rnacentral:rRNA from 1 species